CGUGUAAAAGGGGGUGGCGCGCGUUGGUGAGAAAGGGGCGCCAUCUAUUCGUAGAGUACCCGGCCACCCUCGAAACACCCGUCGUGCAUAAACCGCGCUCGUACUUUCCCGUAUAAUUGCGGCAAUUCAGUGGCAGCCGAUCGAGCCAGUGCAACCGUGCCUUAAUAAAGUGACCAGUGUAUGCCUUUGGGGAAAGGAGAUAGAUAAAGAAUGGACAUACUCCUGAGGGACAUGAACGUUACGUGGCGAUGACAAGCCUGAUCUUGGAGAACGCGGACUUAAACCGACUUUUUCCAAAAUGCCGGCCUAGGGGCGGCCCACCCCCGCCCCCGGGGGGCUCCACGCAGACCAGCCAGCCGCAUGACAACCCUUGCCAAACGGAGCUCGCCUCUGUUACCACCAUCACCACGUCCUCCACCGUCACGAUUGCCUCUGCUAACGACACCACCAUCACCACCCCUUCUUCGAAUCUUCUUUCCGCCAUAUCGGACGACAUGAUCGACCUUGAGCGCGACACCUCCGACAGGUAUAGGAAACGAGCGAAUGGCAGAAAAAAAUCAGCUUCGCUGUCCCGUAGGACGGCGAGCGUGGUGGCCGGUUAUGGUGCCGAGGGCCAACUGCCGAUCGGUACAUCUACGAAGAAGCCAUUAUCCUCGAGUUCGUCCUCGGCAUCAGGACGAUCCGAGGAUGCACCUCAAUAUGGCAGCCUGGCGGGUAGCGAUCAUCAGACGCAAUCCCAGCAAGAGGACAGCGGACCCGAGGAGAGUCCCGUUUAUAUUUUGACCUCCGCCAAGGGAGAUCGUAGCUACAAAUUACGUGACUCCAGAAUUAUAGAAAUAGCUGGUGGUCGAGAAGUAUUUUCGCAAAGCCGUGGAAAAGUUGCAGCAAGGAAAUCACGCUUUCAUGCUGCAUCCAAUUCAUUAAAUAACGAAGAUACUCAAGCAGAUAACAAGUUAUCUAUUAAGAAAAACAAUAAGUCCCCAAGCACACAAACUAUUUGGGAAUUACGAAGCCGAUGUGGUGAAACAAGGAAACAACGUACGAACCGAGAGGUUACAGAGACUGUAUUCUCAUCUGAGGUGCAUUCAGUACGACGUAAUCCUACCAAGUCUAUCCUUGAUUACGAUUCUCCUAAAAGCAAUCGUAGCAAUUGUAUUAUUAAUUAUGAUUCAAUUUUAAAUAGCAAUAAUGUAGAAUACAGUGUACCUAAAAGUAUUACUGAUCUGGAUUAUGGGUUGUCGAAAAACUGUGUAGAUUAUCAAUCUAAUCACACUACACCCGCAAGAAGUAUGGCUAUUGUUAGUGACGGUGAAGUGGUGGUGUUUGACGAUAUAGAUGAUAACUGGCAAGGUUUGCGUUUGGAUUUAGCAUCAAAUAAUACAACUCAAGUUACAACAACUAAUUUAGAUUUGGAAACGGAAGAUCCACCGAGAGGUCGUAUUCCUCCCGAACCGCCGAGUUCUAGCGUUGGUAGCACUCCAAGUCCUACAACAGCAUAUCACCAUAAUACAUCUGAAUUCUUCAAGGUUGUAACAACGGCAAGCGAUUGCGAGAUAGAUUCACCUUCUCCAGAGCGUAACCAUAAAGUGGCAAGAGUGAUAGGAGAACUACCAAUUGCGCAGUAUUCAGGAAGUCCAAGACGUUAUGGCGUUCGUGAAAAUCCACAACUUCCCAGUUUGUUGUCAUCACCUUCUGUAUACAUGACACCGAGACCUGGUUUUCCACAAAGAGUGUUGCCAACAACACCCAAUCACAAAGAGAAGGAGGAUGCCUCUACUGAAAUUAUCGUAGAAAAGCCUGUGAUAGAAACAGCCAUAGCUCACACGGAAGAUCAAUCGUUAAACGUUUCACCGUCGUCUCCUAAAAUCGAGGAUGAAGAAGAAGAUUCAUUAAAACCACCAGUUUUACCUGCUGACAAUAUAAGUAGUCUUGUAUCACCAGGCGGCAGUACUUUUGAUUACUUGUAUGAAUUUUCUGAAACUCGAAAAGUAUUAGAAGAAUUUUUCAAAUGCCCACCUCCAUCCAAAGAGAAAGAGAAUAGCAUUGAAUCGUUUCCGUUCCAAGACUUGGAUUAUGAACUACGAAGACAAGGAGGAAGUUCAUAUGUUGGUCAACGUUUGGCUAGUGGUCCACCCCCUACGGAGGAAGUUAUGGUACACGAAUCACCAAAAAAGCAAAGAUCUGAUUUUCCUCAAAAUACUGGCGAGCACGAAAACAAUUUUUUGGAUCUCUCAGUAGGCACUGGAAGCAGUGAAGAUCUUGGAGAGACAGAAGUUGGUUUACAGGUUGGCCACUCGCGUAAUUUCACAUUAAGUCCUGAAACAACUGACUGCGACAGCAAUUGUGGAGAUUUAGAUAGCGAAGUUUCAUUAAUGAUGAUGGAUAAUGAAUUAAUGCCGGCCAGUGGUUUGCUUGGUUCAGUUGGAGAUUUAGGAAAUAACUCGGAUUCUCUUAGAAUCUAUACGAGUAUGCCUGUAUUAGAAGAUGGUUUAUCUAGUGGACAUGCAAGUGACACUGAUAAUAAUAAUCCAACGGUGAUGCUUAUGAAACGGCAAAUAAAUGAAAUAGAAAAGGAAAUUAUUCAAAGGACGCGUAAUGACAUGUUAGGAACUGAAAAUGAGCCAGUCAAAGAUGUGAGUUUAAAUGUCACAAAGGAACUCUUGCAUACAUUACAAACAUCAUCGCCUGAUUUAUUUAUUGCGAAGAAGGAAAACUCGUAUGAAACCAAUGAGUUACAACUCGAUGGAUUAGAUCCUUUGGGUACACCACCACCACCUGCGCCACAAGGUAGACAAAGUGUCAAUUUGGAAAUAGGUGGUGAAGUAGAAGCAGCCAUUAAAGAUAUUAGAAUGGCAUUGCAAAGAACUAAAACACUUCCUGUUAAAUCUCCUUCGGAAGAACCACCCGAACCAAGCGUUAGUCCUAUUUGGAUACCAAGUAUAUUGGAUUCCAGGCGGAGAAUAUGCAUGGAAAGUAAUAGCGAAGAUUCGGAAGCACGACGAGGAGGCGACGAAGCGGAUGUAGAGAUCGAAGAAGGUCCAGAUGAAGAAGAAGCAGACACUGAUCUUGAGACUGAUCGAUUAUUAGGACAGCAAAGAACUGACGAUCAAGGAUUUUAUGAUGAUAAAGGGUGGCGGAAGCCUAAGACUAGGACAAUGUUACCACCAAUGAGUGCAAAAAUCGCAACUCCUAAGCAAACCCCUCCUAAAACCUUGAGUGUAACUCCUAUAGAAACGCUAGCAUCGUCCGAACCUUUGCCAUCUACGUCUACUUCCAUUUCUCCACCUCCUGUAGUAUCUGUUAUUCAAUCACCACCUUCUGAACGUGAAGUAACCACCCCUACGCAACCUGCAACAAGUCCACAGAAGACCCCAGUCAAAAACUCUCCCUCGUCCCCUCAGAGUCUGAAGGAAUCUAGCAACAAGGUGAAAAAGGAUAAAGAAGGAAAGAAGAAAAGUCGAAAUAAAGAAGCAUUAUUGGACGAUCCUUCAGUGUUAAUCGAAGGCGUACUCUUCAGAGCAAGAUACUUAGGAUCUACUCAAUUAGUAUGCGAGGGUCAACCAACUAAAUCUACUAGAAUGUGUCAAGCAGAGGAAGCUGUUUCUCGAAUAAAGGAUGGGCCAGUGCCAAUGCAGGCUACGCUCUUAAACUAUGGGGGGCAGCAUGGUUACGGGCGCUGCAGCAUAACUUCGCAAGGAAGCCUAGAGGAAGACGAAUGUGACUCAAGCGAAGAACUUAUAGGGAGUGCUUCUGGUGGGGGCCAGUCCGAGACACACACAAUAGCCGCCCAACCGAAACUGGCCCCGAUCAGUGGCUCCUUGGGGCCCACAACCGUUUUCAGACUACAAUUUCUUGGGUCGGUGGAGGUGGAAGAGGAAGGGGGACGUAAACGGCGUAAGCGCCUUAAGAAUCACAUGGUGGAAGAGGCUGUGACUAAAAUAAAGGCACUGGCACCGGAUGGUGAAACUCAACCCAGUACCGAAGUCGACCUAUUUAUUUCAACAGAGAAAAUUAUGGUUCUUAACACUGACUUGAAAGAAAUUAUGAUGGAUCAUGCUUUACGAACGAUAUCGUACAUAGCAGAUAUCGGCGACUUGGUUGUUCUCAUGGCUCGAAGACGAUUCGUACCUCAUGAGAUGGAAGAAGCUCCUAAGAUAAACAGGACUCCCAAAAUGAUCUGUCACGUUUUUGAAAGCGAAGAAGCUCAGUUUAUUGCACAAAGUAUUGGACAAGCAUUUCAAGUAGCUUACAUGGAGUUCCUAAAAGCAAAUGGAAUAGAAGAUCAUAGUUUUGUUAAAGAGAUGGAUUAUCAAGAAGUACUUAAUUCACAGGAGAUAUUUGGCGACGAGUUGCAAAUGUUUGCAAAAAAGGAAAUGCAGAAAGAGGUAGUGGUACCAAAAGCGAAAGGUGAAAUUCUUGGUGUAGUAAUAGUUGAAUCUGGAUGGGGCUCUAUGCUGCCAACUGUAGUUAUAGCUAAUCUGGCACCAGCUGGUGCUGCAGCUCGUUGCGGGCAAUUAAAUAUUGGUGAUCAAAUAAUAGCAAUCAAUGGCGUGUCGUUAGUUGGCUUACCUCUAUCAACAUGUCAGACGUACAUAAAGAACUCAAAAAAUCAAACGGUCGUAAAGUUAACUGUCGUACCAUGUGCACCCGUUGUUGAAGUGAAAAUCAAGAGACCCGAUACGAAGUAUCAGUUAGGAUUUAGUGUACAGAAUGGGGUAAUAUGCAGUUUGUUAAGAGGUGGUAUUGCAGAAAGAGGGGGAGUAAGAGUGGGUCAUAGAAUAAUCGAAAUUAAUAAUCAGAGUGUUGUUGCUGUACCACAUGAAAAGAUUGUUAAUCUUCUUGCCACUUCUGUUGGUGAAAUCCUGAUGAAGACAAUGCCCACUUCGAUGUUUAGGCUAUUAACUGGUCAGGAGUCUCCGGUGUACAUAUAAACGUUCAGUUGCCUGGCUGAUGCGUAGUGAACAGACAAUACAUCUGCCAUCCACUACCACACUAUUUACCACUUUACUGUACAGAUUAUUUCACGCAAAUUGCUUUGUGUUUCAAUUCCAAUGGAGCAGUUCAUACGUCAUCAGCGCUCCUGCUUAGUAAACCAAGACUACCUAGAGGAUCACAUUAUUUGCGCCAAGAAAGACGCUAGGCGAUGCAGAUGAUGCAGUGCACAUGAUUAUAAAUAGCACAAAGCUCUUUAUUGAUAUUUAGAGCAGAGCUGAAACUGUAUAUUAUAUUAUAUUAGCUAAUGACGUAGUAAUAUUUAUAAAAACGUAUCUCCUAUCAUCUUUUGGAGACUCAACUUUACAUCGUUCAUUUAAUCUUUUUUAUUCUUGAGCUCGUCGAUGCUUGAGAUGCAUUGCCCGAGUCUUAUUAAUUUGUACUAAACACUAUUGUCUAUUAUAAAAUUUUCAAUGCAUAAGUCUCGUGAUAUAUACAUAUAUAUGUCAUAGUAAUUAUAUAGAAGAGUCAGCAAAACAUAACAUAAAGAAAAGGAUUCCACCAGCAGCAUGAAAUACUUUUCGUUUAUUAAUUUUUGUUUUUCAAUAAUCUUUUAUUUUUUUUAAGAAGCUGCACUCUACUUUAUUACCUCUUUCUAUAUAUCACUAGAUAACAACAUUUGUAUAGGAUAUGCGUACAUGUAUAUGCAGAUAUCGACAGGGCUAUUAUAUGUAAUAUUCUAUUGUAACAAAUUGAAUAUAUAUAUAUAAUAAUGACGAUGAAGCAUGAAUAUGAACAAUGUAUGUACAAAAAAGUAUAAGUUAAAGAUCUUAUAUUUGCAUUAUGGCCCAAUAGAACAGAUGCGAAAUGCAUGUCGCACAAGUUAUUAUAUUGGAUAUAGCUACUGAUGAUUUGAUUGAAAGAUUAUACUAAAUAAUUCUAUAAAUAACGUUUGCAUUUUCAUGAGAUUAUUUUAUGGACAAAGAGUUGUAUUUAGCAAAUUGUAUAUUUAUUAGAAUAAUCUGAGUUAUAAUUUUCCUUCAUUUCUGCAGAUAAUAUGUAAAAAAGAAAUUGAGGGUUGGCCAUAAAUAAGAAAUAUUAUUAUUAUACACAUAACUUUUAAAUAACUAAUUGCGUACAAUAUUUAUAUACUAUGACAAUGUAAAAAAAAUACUAAAGCUGACAGAUUUCAAUAAGGCUGCUUGCGUGUAAGCCUUUUAUUUUAGUCAGUGUACGGGGAAGAAUUUGUCAUUGAAAAGAAUUCCUAAAUAUUAUAGCGUUGCCAUAUUUGUGAUCAUAUUACUAUGAGAGAUACAAUUUAUUUUACUGAAACUUUUAAAUCUUAAUCACACGUUCUUACUUAAAGGCAACACACAUUUUCUCUAGAUAUUCUUAUUGGAGUCUGUAGUGGCUGGUUGUGCGCACUUAGUGUAACUUUAAAAUGCAUUGAUAUGCAAUGUAUAAUCCAUUACACUUGAGUCACUGUAGCACUGUGUAUUAUAAAAUUGUUCUAAAAUAUACAGACUGAUGCAAUCUAUGCUAUAAAAAUAAUAGGAUAAAUUAUCCAUUCCACAUAUAUAUGUAAGCUAAAUAAAGUAAAGUAUACCAUCAGUGAAAUGGUAUCUCUUCUAUAUAAGUACUGUGUAUUAUAAUAAUCUAAGUUGUAUCUAUUUUUGCUGAAAAUUUCUCACCUUUAAACUAUUCUGCUUAGAAUACUGAAGAUGUAUAUGCGGUGGUGCAAAUUUUAGAACUCCUGGUAUUUGAUAAAAUUUCAAUGCCAAAGUACAUUAAGUAAUUAACAUUUUAAAAUUGAAUUCUUUUGCAUGCAUGUGAUUUGAACUGCAAAUCACUUAUUUCGAUAUACGAUUUGGAAUAUAUUUAUACAAAAUUCCAUUUUCUAUUAAUUCUAUAAAUAAAAAUCUUAACAUUUGUAAACGAUACGUUAACAUCUCAUCGCUUUUUUGGCAUUUUUCAUAAAUUAAUAAACAAUAUUCAAUAUUUUCUUUCGAAGCAAAAGCUAUCGAUUAAAUUAUUGAAAUAAUAGUUAAAUCACUAUUUCCAAACAUUUCUUACAUAAGAGUUCUUUGUAUGAAAGAAGAUAAAAAGAAAAUAUAUAAAGAAAUAUAUAAAGUCGAAGGAAGAGUCCAAGAUAAAUGCUUUAGUCAGAUUUAAAAUUGCAUUAAAGCUUUGUUAUGGGGAGAACGAUUAUGUUAGAAAUGUUUAUCGAAAUAUAUAUACAACUAAAAUAAAUGAAUAAAUAAAGAAAGAAAGAAAGAAAAACAUACGUAAAUAUACAUGUAAAUGCAUAGGUUACAACAUAAGUCAUAGUGAAAAAAAUGAUAAUUGACUAAAAAAACAUAUAUUAAUUGUACAAAAUAAUGGUCAUUUAAAUAUAUGAGUUAAAAAACAAAUGUAACUUUAAUUUAAUUUACAUGGAUCGAGGAAAAACUAUUGGAUACAAAUUUGUAUGAAUAUUUUUUAAAUGAGAAUGUAAAAAUCACAUAGAUACAAUUUUCUUUAUACUUUGAAUUAAUUUUCCAAUGAAAACAACCUCCUCUCUCCAUGCAUAUAUAUAAUAGACCUAUGAAUAAUGUUUUGACCUAUGUACAAUAAUUCAAUUGAUUGAAAAAAAAAUAUAUAGAAAGCGUAUUAUAAAUUGCAUAUCAUGAAGAAAAAUCUAUAUCAUUAGAAACUACACGCAUUCAUUCCUUAUGAAUAAUAAAUCAUAUUUAUAAAAUACGUGCAGAAAGUAUUAUACUUUGCAGAAAUAUCCAGUAUUUCUGGAUCAGUCAUGUCACUGUCAGUAUCCAUUAAAUAAGGCAAUGAAUUUUGGCAUAGAAAUUUUUAUCCAUAUAUUUGGUGAGCAACAGAGCGGUACGAAUAUUAUGAUAUAUAUGGGAUCAAACAAGAUGUUAUUAUAUCGGGUGGCUAAAAACUUAUCUAGUCAUUACGCUAAAAAAUAUAUAAAAAUGAAUACUCAGCCAUUAUUGCAAGCCACCCUGACUGAAUGUGUUUAAUCACAUUUUAAAUAACACAUCUGCGACUAACUUUAACUGUCAACCUGAUCUUGCAUGGUCAUCUCUUUUGUCUACUAUUACGAAUAAAAUAUAGUAUUAUGUAGAUUAUUUGUUCAAAGUAUAUAUAAUAUAUAUAUAGACAUCUUAUUUCUGGGUAUUGUUUACACAUAUAUAUAUGUAUAUGUAUGUAUGUAUGUAUGUGUAUACAUAUUAUUCGUUUUAUAUUUCUAAUCUAAAUAGUUCUAAUAAUUUUACGUUCUUACAAUAAUAUGGCUUGUUAUGGUCACGAUAAAAGAGUAAAUAAAUAUAUUCUUACGAAUAUAAAUCUACAAAAAAAUCAACUACACGCGAAUAUCGAAUAAUAUAUUCCAAAUUAAUUGUAAAUGAAAUCUUUCCGAAUCUAUAAAAGAAUGAAAAGUUAAAUAUGUUUUGUUUAAAUAAACAUCUAACUGUUAUCGCGAUAAGUAUAAUGACAUAGUAAGCCAAAGAUUACUUCCAGAUUUUUGUAGAAUAUUUUGUUUUAUAUUUUUCAACAUGACAAUGAUAUGAUUGUGCAAUGUCAGUAAUGAGGAAGAAUAGAUUCAAAAUUGAAGGAAGAAUCGUUACCGAAUAAUAAAAAGAAUAAUGACAAGAAAAAACAAAUAUUCGAAAUAAAACUGUUCGUAAGAGAAAUGAAAAGAAAAAAAAAAGAAAAACUAAUUAUAUCUUAUACAUUCAUAGAGCUUGCGCUGUAGCUUCACUAGUCAUGAGAGACACACUACAAAAUAUCAUGACUAAUCUCUCUCUCUUUCUAUCAAUGUGUGUGUUUGCGAGUGUAUAAUAAGUUAAAAUUAUAAGUGAGCUAUAUUGAAUGUGUAUAUGGUAAUAUUAUUACUAUACUAGUCCGUAUUAAGGUAAUAAUAAAAUGUAAUUUUGAAUUCAAAUUCAAAAUGCAUCUAUAUAUUUCUGUGUCACUGACCUGCAGUGAGAUGCCUUAAGAUUUCAAGUUUCAACGGAAUAGUUGCAACUCUUAUAAUAUACAUCACUUACUUGUAAG
rnacentral:misc_RNA from 1 species